rnacentral:rRNA from 1 species
GCUAUUGGAGUUCGAUUAAGCCAUGCGAGUCGAGAGUCCUCGGGACUCGGCGUACCGCUCAGUAACACGUGGGUAACCUGCCCUAUGCUGGGGAAUAACCUCGGGAAACUGAGAAUAAUGCCCCAUAGCCCACUACGCCUGGAACGGUGAGUGGGUCAAAGCUCCGGCGGCAUAGGAUGGGCCUGCGCCGUAUCAGGUUGUAGGGGGUGUAAAGUACCCUCUAGCCAUCAACGCGUACGGGUGUUGGGAGACAUUGCCCGGAGAUGGAUUCUGAGACACGAAUCCAGACCCUACGGGGUGCAGCAGGCGCGAAAACUUGGCAAUGCGAGCAAUCGUGACCAGGGAACUCCAAGUGCGUAGGGUAAGACCUACGCUUUUCUUGACUCUUCAAAGGUCUUGGAAUAAGGGGCGGGUAAGGACGGUGCCAGCCGCCGCGGUAAUACCGGCGCCUCAAGUGGUAGUCGCUUUUAUUGGGCCUAAAACGUCCGUAGCCGGUCUGGUGCAUUCGUGGGUAAAUCAACCCGCUCAACGGGUUGAAUUCUGCGAGCACGGCCAGACUUGGGACCGGGAGAGGUGUGGGGUACUCUCAGGGUAGGGGUAAAAUCCUGUCAUCCUGAGAGGACCACCUGUUGCGAAGGCGCCACACUAGAACGGAUCCGACGGUCAGGGACGAAACCUAGGGGCACGAACCGGAUUAGAUACCCGGGUAGUCCUAGGUGUAAACGCUGUGGACUUGAUGUUGGGGGCGCUCCGAGCGCUCUCAGUGUCGAAGCGAAGGUGAUAAGUCCACUGCCUGGGGAGUACGGUCGCAAGGCUGAAACUUAAAGGAAUUGGCGGGGGAGCACUGC